AGGGGGGAUAACGAUCCGGAAACGGGUAGCUAAUACCGCAUAGUUUUCUUGAUCGCAUGAUCGGGAAAGGAAAGACGGCCUUCGUGCUGUCGCUUAUGGAUGGACCCGCGGCGUAUUAGUUAGUUGGUGAGGUAAUGGCUCACCAAGACGAUGAUACGUAGCCGACCUGAGAGGGUGAUCGGCCACAUUGGGACUGAGACACGGCCCAAACUCCUACGGGAGGCAGCAGUAGGGAAUCUUCUGCAAUGGACGAAAGUCUGACGGAGCAACGCCGCGUGAGUGAAGAAAAGGUUUUCGGAUCGUAAAACUCUGUUGUCAGAGAAGAACAAGUUGGAGAGUAACUGCUCCAGCCUUGACGGUAUCUGACCAGAAAGCCAUGGCUAACUACGUGCCAGCCGCGGC
rnacentral:rRNA from 1 species